UACGAAGGGGGCUAGCGUUGUUCGGAAUACUGGGCGUAAAGCGCGCGCAGGCGGUCUUCCAAGUCAGUGGUGAAAGCCCGGAGCUCAACUCCGGAACUGCCAUUGAAACUGUUGGACUUGAGUACGAGAGAGGUGAGUGGAAUUCCCAGUGUAGAGGUGAAAUUCGUAGAUAUUGGGGAAGAACACCGGUGGCGAAGGCGGGCU
rnacentral:rRNA from 1 species